UACGGAGGAUCCGAGCGUUAUCCGGAUUUAUUGGGUUUAAAGGGUGCGUAGGCGGUCUUCUAAGUCAGUUGUGAAAUACUUCAGCUUAACUGGAGAGGUGCAAUUGAUACUGGAAGACUUGAGUACUGAUGAGGUAGGCGGAAUGGACGGUGUAGCGGUGAAAUGCUUAGAUAUCGUCCAGAACACCGAUAGCGAAGGCAGCUUACUAAGGAGUAACUGACGCUGAGGCACGAAAGUGUGGGGAUCAAACAGG
rnacentral:rRNA from 1 species